CGUGAUAAGCACCAAUGCAGGAUGAUAGGGCCAUACGUCGGCAAAAAAUGUGGAGCUCACUCAGACUCACUCAUGCAAAAUAUUUUGCCCUUAGGGCUCACUCGGACUCUGACUCACCAAAAUUUUCCUCAACCGGACUGACUCGGACUCGCUCACUAUAUUUUUUCUCAACCGGACUGAUUCGGACGACUCACAACAACAUUACUCACUCGGACGCACUCAGGCUCAGGUCUCGUUCUGAGUCUGAGUGAAUUUACUCAUGAGUGAGUUUACCGAC
rnacentral:lncRNA from 1 species